rnacentral:rRNA from 2 species
UACAGAGACUGCAAGCGUUAUUCGGAUUCACUGGGCGUAAAGGGUGCGCAGGCGGCCAGGUGUGUGAGGCGUGAAAGCCCGGGGCUUAACCCCGGAAUUGCACCUCAAACUACAUGGCUAGAGCAUUGGAGAGGGUAGCGGAAUUCACGGUGUAGCAGUGAAAUGCGUAGAUAUCGUGAGGAACACCAGAGGCGAAGGCGGCUACCUGGACAAUUGCUGACGCUCAGGCACGAAAGCGUGGGGAGCAAAAGGG